CAGUCGAACGGGAACGGAAGGAAGCCUAGUGAAUUCUGUUUUAGUGGCGGACGGGUGAGUAACGCGUGGGGAACCUGCCGUAUACAGGGGGAUAACACAUAGAAAUAGGUGCUAAUACCGCAUAAGCGCACGCCUUCGCAUGAAGGAGUGUGAAAAGGCGAAAGCCGGUAUACGAUGGCCCCGCGUCUGAUUAGCCAGUUGGCAGGGCAGCGGCCUACCAAAGCGACGAUCAGUAGCCGGCCUGAGAGGGCGGACGGCCACAUUGGGACUGAGACACGGCCCAGACUCCUGCGGGAGGCAGCAGUGGGGAAUAUUGCACAAUGGGGGGAACCCUGAUGCAGCGACGCCGCGUGAGUGAAGAAGUAUUUCGGUAUGUAAAGCUCUAUCAGCAGGGAAGAAAAUGACGGUACCUGAAUAAGAAGCCCCGGCUAACUACGUGCCAGCAGCCGCGGUAAUACGUAGGGGGCAAGCGUUAUCCGGAUUUACUGGGUGUAAAGGGAGCGUAGACGGUUAUGCAAGUCUGGAGUGAAAGCCCGGGGCUCAACCCCGGGACUGCUUUGGAAACUGUAAAACUGGAGUGCAGGAGAGGCAGGCGGAAUUCCUAGUGUAGCGGUGAAAUGCGUAGAUAUUAGGAGGAACACCAGUGGCGAAGGCGGCCUGCUGGACUGUAACUGACGUUGAGGCUCGAAGGCGUGGGGAGCAAACAGGAUUAGAUACCCUGGUAGUCCACGCGGUAAACGAUGAUCACUAGGUGUCGGAGGGUAGAGACCCUUCGGUGCCGCCGCAAACGCAGUAAGUGAUCCACCUGGGGAGUACGUUCGCAAGAAUGAAACUCAAAGGAAUUGACGGGG
rnacentral:rRNA from 1 species